rnacentral:rRNA from 1 species
CUUGAACGCUGGCGGAAUGCUUUACACAUGCAAGUCGAACGGUAGAGGGGGCAACCCCUCGAGAGUGGCGAACGGGUGAGUAAUAUAUCGGAACGUGCCCAGUCGUGGGGGAUAACGUGGCGAAAGUUACGCUAAUACCGCAUACGAUCUAAGGAUGAAAGCGGGGGAUCGCAAGACCUCGCGCGAUUGGAGCGGCCGAUAUCAGAUUAGGUAGUUGGUGGGGUAAAGGCUCACCAAGCCAACGAUCUGUAGCUGGUCUGAGAGGACGACCAGCCACACUGGAACUGAGACACGGUCCAGACCCCUACGGGAGGCAGCAGUGGGGAAUUUUGGACAAUGGACGCAAGUCUGAUCCAGCCAUUCCGCGUGCAGGAUGAAGGCCCUCGGGUUGUAAACUGCUUUUGUACGGAACGAAAAGGUCUCUCUUAAUACGGGGGACUCAUGACGGUACCGUAAGAAUAAGCACCGGCUAACUACGUGCCAGCCGCCGCCGUAAGAC